rnacentral:rRNA from 1 species
GACGAACGCUGGCGGCGUGCUUAACACAUGCAAGUCGAACGGAAAGGCCCUGCUUUUGUGGGGUGCUCGAGUGGCGAACGGGUGAGUAACACGUGAGUAACCUGCCCUUGACUUUGGGAUAACUUCAGGAAACUGGGGCUAAUACCGGAUAGGAGCUCCUGCUGCAUGGUGGGGGUUGGAAAGUUUCGGCGGUUGGGGAUGGACUCGCGGCUUAUCAGCUUGUUGGUGGGGUAGUGGCUUACCAAGGCUUUGACGGGUAGCCGGCCUGAGAGGGUGACCGGCCACAUUGGGACUGAGAUACGGCCCAGACUCCUACGGAGAGGCAGCAGUGGGGAAUAUUGCACAAUGGGCCGGAAGCUUGAUGCAACAACCCCGCGUGGGGAAUGACGGCCUUCGGGUUGUAAACCCCUUUUCCCCUGUGACGAAAGGGGGAGGGACGGAAAUGGGUAAAAAAGGCACCGGCUUAUUACGUUCCCAGCAGCCGCCGGUGAUAGGUAGGGGGCAGGCGUUGUCCCGGAUUUAUUGGGCGUAAAGGGCUCGUAGGUGGUUGAUCGCGUCGGAAGUGUAAUCUUGGGGCUUAACCCUGAGCGUGCUUUCGAUACGGGUUGACUUGAGGAAGGUAGGGGAGAAUGGAAUUCCUGGUGGAGCGGUGGAAUGCGCAGAUAUCAGGAGGAACACCAGUGGCGAAGGCGGUUCUCUGGGCCUUUCCUGACGCUGAGGAGCGAAAGCGUGGGGAGCGAACAGGCUUAGAUACCCUGGUAGUCCACGCUGUAAACGGUGGGUACUAGGUGUGGGGUCCAUUCCACGGGUUCCGUGCCGUAGCUAACGCUUUAAGUACCCCGCCUGGGGAGUACGGCCGCAAGGCUAAAACUCAAAGGAAUUGACGGGGCCCCGCACAAGCGGCGGAGCAUGCGGAUUAAUUCGAUGCAACGCGUAGAACCUUACCUGGGUUUGACAUGGAUCGGGGGUGCUCAGAGAUGGGUGUGCCUCUUUUGGGGUCGGUUCACAGGUGGUGCAUGGCUGUCGUCAGCUCGUGUCGUGAGAUGUUGGGUUAAGUCCCGCAACGAGCGCAACCCUUGUUCACUGUUGCCAGCACGUUAUGGUGGGGACUCAGUGGAGACCGCCGGGGUCAACUCGGAGGAAGGUGGGGAUGACGUCAAGUCAUCAUGCCCCUUAUGUCCAGGGCUUCACGCAUGCAACAAUGGCUGGUACAGAGAGUGGCGAGCCUGUGAGGGUGAGCGAAUCUCGGAAAGCCGGUCUCAGUUCGGAUUGGGGUCUGCAACUCGACCUCAUGAAGUCGGAGUCGCUAGUAAUCGCAGAUCAGCAACGCUGCGGUGAAUACGUUCCCGGGGCU